ACUGAACAUUGAGCCUUGAUGUGUAGGAUAGGUGGGAGGCUUUGAAGCGUGGACGCCAGUCUGCGUGGAGCCGACCUUGAAAUACCACCCUUUAAUGUUUGAUGUUCUAACGUGGACCCGUAAUCCGGGUUGCGGACAGUGUCUGGUGGGUAGUUUGACUGGGGCGGUCUCCUCCUAAAGAGUAACGGAGGAGCACGAAGGUUGGCUAAUCCUGGUCGGACAUCAGGAGGUUAGUGCAAUGGCAUAAGCCAGCUUGACUGCGAGCGUGACGGCGCGAGCAGGUGCGAAAGCAGGUCAUAGUGAUCCGGUGGUUCUGAAUGGAAGGGCCAUCGCUCAACGGAUAAAAGGUACUCCGGGGAUAACAGGCUGAUACCGCCCAAGAGUUCAUAUCGACGGCGGUGUUUGGCACCUCGAUGUCGGCUCAUCACAUCCUGGGGCUGAAGUAGGUCCCAAGGGUAUGGCUGUUCGCCAUUUAAAGUGGUACGCGAGCUGGGUUUAGAACGUCGUGAGACAGUUCGGUCCCUAUCUGCCGUGGGCGCUGGAGAACUGAGGGGGGCUGCUCCUAGUACGAGAGGACCGGAGUGGACGCAUCACUGGUGUUCGGGUUGUCAUGCCAAUGGCACU
rnacentral:rRNA from 1 species